UACAGAGGGUGCGAGCGUUAAUCGGAAUUACUGGGCGUAAAGCGCGCGCAGGCGGUUAAUUAAGUUGGGUGUUUAAGCCCGGGGCUCAACCCCGGUUCGCAUCCAAAACUGGUUGACUUGAGUGUAGGAGAGGAAAGUGGAAUUCCACGUGUAGCGGUGAAAUGCGUAGAGAUGUGGAGGAACACCAGUGGCGAAGGCGACUUUCUGGCCUAUAACUGACGCUGAGGCGCGAAAGCGUGGGGAGCAAACAGG
rnacentral:rRNA from 1 species